CAUAGUGAUUGUGCAAGUGUAUCCAAAUCAUCCAAACAGGGGUAAGUGUUAGUCUUAAGGAACGUAUAACAUUGAUUAUCCAUGUUAGGUAUUUAUAGUUAUGUUGUCAUUGUUAUAGCUUCAAGCAACGCCCUUUUUAUUUGGAUAUUUGUUGCAAGAAUUUAAUACAUGUAACAAGACCCUGAGAAUACGAGCUAGCGGGUUGAGGUGCUGGCAGAGUUCACCAGAAAAUAUAACUCUCCUGGCGUCCAAAUUAGAUUAAGUUUAGGCUAAGUCUAACAUAGGUUUAAGUCUAGCUAUUAAGUUAAUCUGCAAAUGUGUAGUAAAUGGGCAUACAAUAA